rnacentral:rRNA from 1 species
CCUACGGGUGGCUGCAGUCGAGAAUCAUUCACAAUGGGGGAAACCCUGAUGGGGCGACGCCGCGUGGGGGAAUGAAGGUCUGCGGAUUGUAAACCCCGGUCAUGGGGGAGCAAAUUAAAAAGAAAGUACCACAAGAGGAAGAGACGGCGUACUCUGGGCCAUCAGCCGCGGUAAAACAGAGGUCUCAAGCGUUGGUCGGAACCAAUGGGCGUACAGGUUGCGUAGGCGGUUUCGUAAGUCGUGUGUGAAAGGCGCGGGCUCAACCCGCGGACGGCACCUGAGACUGCGAGACUAGCGUACUGGAGUGGGAACCGGAAUUCUCGGUGUAGCAGUGAAAUGCGUAGAUCUCG